GAAGGUAUAGCUCAGUGGUAGAGUGGGUGCUUAGCAUACGCGAGGUUCUAGGUUCAAUCCUCAGUAUCUCCA
rfam:Camelus ferus unplaced genomic scaffold scaffold842, whole genome shotgun sequence.